UUUAAUUGAAGAGUUUGAUCAUGGCUCAGAUUGAACGCUGGCGGCAGGCCUAACACAUGCAAGUCGAGCGGCAGCGGGAGGAAGCUUGCUUCCUCGCCGGCGAGCGGCGGACGGGUGAGUAAUGUCUGGGAAACUGCCCGAUGGAGGGGGAUAACUACUGGAAACGGUAGCUAAUACCGCAUAACGUCGCAAGACCAAAGUGGGGGACCUUAGGGCCUCACACCAUCGGAUGUGCCCAGAUGGGAUUAGCUAGUAGGUGGGGUAAUGGCUCACCUAGGCGACGAUCCCUAGCUGGUCUGAGAGGAU
rnacentral:rRNA from 1 species